UGGUCUUGGCCUCAUCGAGUAUGUAGUAUUCGAAACCUAUCAAUUUGUAGAUUAUCAUUAUUAUAUUAGUUACUUUUCGUCGUAGGUUGUAGAAAGAUCAUUAUUUCGUUUUUUGUAGGACAAAGUCAACUACUGACAAUUCUAAAAAGAGUGAAGAGUUCAUUUCCACUUUUCCAAUAUCUGUUCAAGUUUCGGAAAGUGAUAAUAUCAGUGAUGAUGUUCAGUCAAUGUGUAGCAAAUAUCUCUCUGCCGUAGCCUCACCCUUUCAAAAUGUGGAAACGACUGAUAAGAUUACCCAAAGGUCUUGUAUAGACAUAUCUCUGCAGGGGCGACGUUUGACAGAUAUCGGAUAUUUAUUUAUUUCUGCAAUUAGCAUAAAUAUCUAAGCACCCACCAUUCGAUUGUACAUUGAGUGAUAUGUAUCCAAUUCAUGAAUAUAAAAUGGGUUUGAAAACCAAAGUUAGUAUGCAAAAUGUGCAAUAUCAAAAAAACAUUUAUCUUAUAGAAGAAACCGACGGAGGAAUGGACAUAAAUAGCGUUUUAACGUUGGCCACAGUUUCAACCGGAAAUGGCUACUCUACAGUAAAUGAGAUGCUCUUUGUUUUAAAUGUACCGUUCAUGAGUAACUCUACUUAUCAGCAACACCACGAAAAUGUAGCUGAUAUCAUUGAAGAGACUGCUUGGAAGGUCAUGGAGGAAGCAGGUCAAGAAGAGGCUCGAAUA